rnacentral:rRNA from 1 species
AACGAACGCUGGCGGCGUGCUUAACACAUGCCAGUCGAACGGGAAAGCCCGGCGUGGUGGCGCAGGGGCGAACGGGGGGGUAACACGUGAGCAACGUGCCCCUGUCACUGGGACAACCAGGGGAAAAUGUCGCUAAUAGCGGACGCGACACGCCUCUGCAGCGAGUGUGUGUGGACGGGUUUUCGGCUGGGGAUGGGCUCGCGGCCGACUAGCUUGGUGGUGAGGUGUAGGAGAACCAAGACGAGGACGGGUAGCCGGCCUGAGAGGGCGAGCGGCCACACUGGGACUGAGCCACGGCCCAGACUCCUACGGGAGGCAGCAGUGGGGAAUAGUGCACAAUGGGAGGAAGCCUGAUGCAGCGACGCCGCGUGAGGGAUGACGGCCUUCGGGUUGUAAACCUCUUUCAGCUCAGACGAAGCGAAAGUGACGGUAGGAGCAGAAGAAGCACCGGCUAACUACGUG